rnacentral:rRNA from 1 species
AUUGAACGCUGGCGGCAUGCUUUACACAUGCAAGUCGAACGGCAGCACGGACUUCGGUCUGGUGGCGAGUGGCGAACGGGUGAGUAAUACAUCGGAACGUGCCCAGUUGUGGGGGAUAACUACUCGAAAGAGUAGCUACUACCGCAUGAGAACUUAGGGUGAAAGCAGGGGAUCGGAAGACCUUGCGCAACUGGAGCGGCCGAUGGCAGAUUAGGUAGUUGGUGGGAUAAAAGCUUACCAAGCCGACGAUCUGUAGCUGGUCUGAGAGGACGACCAGCCACACUGGGACUGAGACACGGCCCAGACUCCUACGGGAGGCAGCAGUGGGGAAUUUUGGACAAUGGGCGAAAGCCUGAUCCAGCAAUGCCGCGUGCAGGAUGAAGGCCUUCGGGUUGUAAACUGCUUUUGUACGGAACGAAAAGCUUCGGGUUAAUACCCUGGAGUCAUGACGGUACCGUAAGAAUAAGCACCGGCUAACUACGUGCCAGCCGCCGCCGUAA